rnacentral:rRNA from 1 species
AACGAACGCUGGCGGCAGGCUUAACACAUGCAAGUCGAACGCACCUUUCGGGGUGAGUGGCAGACGGGUGAGUAACGCGUGGGAAUCUACCCUUCUCUACGGGAUAGCUCCGGGAAACUGGAAUUAAUACCGUAUACGUCCUGAGGGAGAAAGAUUUAUCGGGGAAGGAUGAGCCCGCGUUGGAUUAGCUAGUUGGUGGGGUAAAGGCCUACCCAGGCGACGAUCCAUAGCUGGUCUAAGAGGAUGAUCAGCCACAUUGGGACUGAGACACGGCCCAAACUCCUACGGGAGGCAGCAGUGGGGAAUAUUGGACAAUGGGCGCAAGCCUGCUCCAGCCAUGCCGCGUGAGUGAUGAAGGCCCUAGGGUUGUAAAGCUCUUUCAGUGUGGACGAUAAUGACGGUACCCACAGAAGAAGCCCCGGCUAACUUCGUGCCAGCAGCCGCGGUAA